AGAACGAACGCUGGCGGCACGCCUAAUACAUGCAAGUCGAACGAACUCUUCGGAGUUAGUGGCGCACGGGUGCGUAACGCGUGGGAAUCUGCCCCUUGGUUCGGAAUAACAGUUGGAAACGACUGCUAAUACCGGAUGAUGACGAAAGUCCAAAGAUUUAAUCGCCAAGGGAUGAGCCCGCGUAGGAUUAGCUAGUUGGUGAGGUAAAGGCUCGCCAAGGCAACGAUCCUUAGCUGGUCUGAGAGGAUGAUCAGCACACUGGGACUGAGACACGGCCCAGACUCCGUACGGGAGGCAGCAGUAGGGAAUAUGGACAAGUGGGCGAAAGCCUGAUCAGCAAUGACCGCGUGAGUGAGUGAAGGCCUUAAGGUUGUAAACGCUCGUUUUAACCGAGAUGAUAAUGACGAGUA
rnacentral:rRNA from 1 species